UGGGGAAUCUUGCGCAAUGGGCGAAAGCCUGACGCAGCAACGCCGCGUGGAGGAAGAAGGCCUUCGGGUUGUAAACUCCUGUCAGGGGGAAAGAAGGCACCUGGGUUAAUAGCCCAAGGGCCGACGGUACCCCCAGAGGAAGCCACGGCUAACUACGUGCCAGCAGCCGCGGUAAUACGUAGGUGGCGAGCGUUGUCCGGAAUUAUUGGGCGUAAAGAGCGCGUAGGCGGCUUGUCAGGUCCGACGUGAAAUCCCGGGGCUCAACCCCGGACGUGCAUCGGAAACCGGCUUGCUAGAGUCUGGGAGAGGGAAGUGGAAUUCCUGGUGUAGCGGUGAAAUGCGCAGAUAUCAGGAGGAACACCGGUAGCGAAGGCUGCUUCCUGGAACAGUACUGACGCUGAGGCGCGAAAGCUAGGGGAGCAAACAG
rnacentral:rRNA from 1 species